rnacentral:rRNA from 1 species
GACGAACGCUGGCGGCGUGCUUAACACAUGCAAGUCGAACGGAAAGGCCCUGCUUUUGUGGGGUGCUCGAGUGGCGAACGGGUGAGUAACACGUGAGUAACCUGCCCUUGACUUUGGGAUAACUUCAGGAAACUGGGGCUAAUACCGGAUAGGAGCUCCUGCUGCAUGGUGGGGGUUGGAAAGUUUCGGCGGUUGGGGUUGGACUAGCGGCUUAUCGGCUUGUUGGUGGGGUAGUGGCUUACCAAGGCUUUGACGGGUAGCCGGCCUGAGAGGGUGACCGGCGACAUUGGGACUGAGAUACGGCCCAGACUCCUACAGUAGGCAGCAGUGGGGAAUAUUGCACAGUGGGCGGAAGCCUGAUGCAGCAACGCCGCGUGCGGGAUGACGGCCUUCGGGUUGUAAACCGCUUUCGCCUGUGACGAAGCGUGAGUGACGGUAAUGAGUGAAGAAGCACCGGCUAACUACGUG